rnacentral:rRNA from 1 species
AGCUCCAAUAGCGUAUAUUUACAUUGUUGCAGUUAAAAAGCUCGUAGUUGGAUUUCUGUUGUUUAUGUUGGCGGUCUUGGAAUCCCAAGUACUGCUGUGUAAGCAUCAUAAUUUGUGAGAAGUCGUACUGGCAUUAAGUUGUUGGUGUGAUGUAUUCUUGCAUCGUUUACUGUGAAAAAAUUAGAGUGUUUCAAGCAGGUUUCUCCUGAAUACAUUAGCAUGGAAUAAUAAGAUAUGACUCGAGUGGUCUAUUUUGUUGGUUUGCACAUUUGAGUAAUGAUUAAUAGGGACAGUAGGGGGUAUUCAUAUUUCAGCGUCAGAGGUGAAAUUCUUGGAUCGCUGAAAGAUGAGCUAAGGCGAAAGCAUUUACCAAGGAUGUUUUCAUUA